AUUGAACGCUGGCGGCAGGCCUAACACAUGCAAGUCGAACGAGUGGCGGACGGGUGAGUCAUUUCUGGGAAACUGCCUGAUGGAGGGGGAUAACUACUGGAAACGGUCGCUAAUACCGCAUACCAUCAGAUGUGCCCAUAUGGGAUUAGCUUGUUGGUGGGGUAACGGCUCACCAAGGCGACGAUCCAUAGCUGGUCUGAGAGGAUGACCAGCCACACUGGAACUGAGACACGGUCAAGACUCCGACGGGAGGCAGCAGUGGGGAAGAUUGCACAAUGGGCGCAAGCCUGAUGCAGCCAUGCCGCGUGUAUGAAGAAGGCCUUCGGGUUGUAAAGUACUGUCAGCGGGGAGGCGUUACCCGCAGAAGAAGCACCGGCUAACUCCGUGCCAGCAGCCGCGGUAAUAC
rnacentral:rRNA from 1 species